rnacentral:lncRNA from 1 species
UCCUCUGAAACUGCGAGACGACAACAACACCUCUCUUCUUCUGUAUUCCAAGCUCUUUUUUUUCUUUCUUUAUGUGUUUGGUUUUUUCUUCUUUUUUUAUAAAGGAAAGAAAUUUCAAAAUUGGAACUUGGUCUCCUUUCAAAAAUAUGAAUAAACGAAGUUAGACAUGUUUUUUUUUUUUUUUGAAAUAUAUAGGUGUGGAGGGGGUGGGGGUUAUUUUUAAGUAAGGAAAAGCAAAGUCUAAACUCUUCCCCCCACCCACAAAGUGGAGCAAAAGCUAAAGUCAUAACCUUUGACACUUUUCCCCCUUUUUUUUAUUAUUUUUCAUUAAUCUCUCACCCAUCUCUUUAUUAUCUCUCUCUCUCUCUCUCUUGCACAAAUAAACAAACAAGACAAAUCUUUCUUUAUUUUUAUUUUUAUCCUAAACAUAUUCUCUCUUUGCUUACUGUAUGUAUUAGCUUAAUUUGUAUCUUCC